rnacentral:lncRNA from 1 species
GGGGAUCCUGAGCGUUCCUAAAACGGGGACACGGAGGUCUGGGUCCUGCCUGGGGUCUGGAGGAAAGUAGUACCUGAGUAUUUUUCCCCAACAGUUUACCCCUUAUUUCUCGAUUUCGUCAUCUAUUUCAAGGAAUAACUUGUGCACUCAAGUCAACUGGGUAGCUCAUUCUCAGCAAUUAUCCCUCGGACAGGAAAGCGUUCCAGGAGCUCAUCUUUUGGGUUCUUUAUA